AUGGAGAAACUAACGAAAAAAGAGAGUGAGAAUGGUGAACGUGAUUUGGGAUUUUUUGUCAACAUAGUGAUUCUUGAAAUCCCACGGCUCGAGUCUUCUUCUUCUCUCAAACCAAAUCAGCGCCGAACAUCUUCGAUUCACCACCUCUUCUCAUCGCCGACCUCCAUCUUGCUUUCUUCGUCCGAUCCUUUAUUUCUUAACGAAUUUGUCAACUCCAUCCAUCUUUGCUGA